rnacentral:rRNA from 1 species
GACGAACGCUGGCGGCGUGCCUAAUACAUGCAAGUCGAGCGAAGUUUUUCUGGUGCUUGCACUAGGAAAACUUAGCGGCGAACGGGUGAGUAACACGUAAAGAACCUGCCUCAUAGACUGGGACAACUAUUGGAAACGAUAGCUAAUACCGGAUAACAGUAUUUCUCGCAUGAGAGAUAUUUAAAAGUUGGUUAUGCUAACACUAUGAGAUGGCUUUGCGGUGCAUUAGCUAGUUGGUGGGGUAAAGGCCCACCAAGGCGACGAUGCAUAGCCGACCUGAGAGGGUGAUCGGCCACACUGGGACUGAGACACGGCCCAGACUCCUACGGGAGGCAGCAGUAGGGAAUCUUCCGCAAUGGGCGAAAGCCUGACGGAGCAACGCCGCGUGAGUGAAGAAGGAUUUCGGUUCGUAAAGCUCUGUUGUUAGGGAAGAAUGGAUAUGUAGUAACUAUACAUGUAAGAGACGGUACCUAACCAGAAAGCCACGGCUAACUACGUG